rnacentral:rRNA from 1 species
GAUGAACGCUGGCGGCGUGCCUAAUACAUGCAAGUCGAACGGACGGACGAUAAGCUUUCUUCUCUGCUGUUAGCGGCGGACGGGUGAGUAACACGUGGAUCACCUACCUCUAAUACUUGGGUAACUUCGGGAAACCGGAGCUACUACCAGCUAAUAUUUUCAACCGCAUGGUUCAAAAGUGCUAGACGGUCUUGCUGUCUCUUAUAGAUGAAUCCGCGCUGCAUUAGCUAGUUGGUAAGGUAACGGCUUACCAAGGCAACGAUGCAUAGCCGACCUGAGAGGGUGAUCGGCCACACUGGAACUGAGACACGGUCCAGACUCCUACGGGAGGCAGCAGUAGGGAAUAUUCCGCAAUGGGCGAAAGCCUGACGGAGCAACGCCGCGUGAGUGAUGAAGGUCUUCGGAUCGUAAAACUCUGUUAUUAGGGAAGAACAUAUGUGUAAGUAACUGUGCACAUCUUGACGGUACCUAAUCAGAAAGCCACGGCUAACUACGUG